ACAUUCGAUUAGGUAGUUGGUAGGGUAGAAGCCUCCCAAGCCGAUGAUCGAUAGUCAAGUUUGACAGAACAAAUGACCACAUUGGGAAUGAAAUAUCCCAAGUAGCGCUAUGCUACCAGCAGUCAAGAAUAUUAGUCAAUGCUCGCAAGAGUGAACUAGCUAACUGAAAUCAAUGGUGUGUCAUCAUUGAUAAUGUAAGGGAAAAAAAAAGAUAUUACCUUACUAUUAGUGUCGUCCAAGUACUCGUGCCAGAAGACUCGGUAAGGCGAGAGACGCGAACGUUAUUCGUCUUGAUCAGGCGUAAAGGGUUUGUAGGCGGCUUUAAGAAUCAAUUUUAUUUAAUAACCUUUUUCUUAAAAGAAUUAAAUAAUUUGAUCAAUUAAAGCUAGAAUCAAGAAGAGGUUAUAUUAUAUAAUACUUAGAGUAAGAUUGACAUCUGAAAAUACUAAGCGGAAUACUAACGGCGAAGGCUUUUUUCCAAUAAUGAUUGACGCUGAGAAACUAAGGUGAGGAUAGAAAAAAGGAUUAGAGACCCUCGUAUCCCUCACUGUCAACGAUGAAUGGUAGUUACUAAGUAACAGAAUAAUAAUUCUAUACUUCCCAAUUAUAAUUUAAGUUUUAUAGCAAAUUAAGUUAAUAAUGGGGCUAAAAGUAAUCAAAUAAACUUAGAGACGAUGUUAACACGUAACCAUUCCGCCUUGUGAGUACGACUGCAAAGUUGAAAACAAAAAAAUUAGUCGGUUUCGGAGCAAACGAAGUGAAGCAUGUUAUUUAAUACGAUACCCCGCGUAAAAUCUUACCAGUCCUUGCAUAAAACUUUUUAUAAUUUAACUCUUUUUAUUAGUCUUAAAUUAUAUACUAUAUUAUAUUAACCUACUACCCCUUUCCACUACCUUUAC
rnacentral:rRNA from 1 species